rnacentral:rRNA from 1 species
GACCGGGAAGGACGCACCUCUGGUGUACCAGUUAUCGUGCCCACGGUAAACGCUGGGUGGCCAAGUGCGGUGCGGAUAACUGCUGGAAGCAUCCAAGUAGUAAGCCCACCCCUAGAUGGGUGCUC